UCUUGAACGAACACAGAGAAGCCAUCAUUGAACGUUACUCUGGCACAACAGGGGCCUCACUGAGUUUCCUGGGAGUGGGAAUGGGUGGAGUGCACUGUAUGACUUGAUGUAGGUUCCGUUUGAAUCCUGUUCAAGCCACUUAAGACAAAGACUGCUAAGUGUCCCCUUCUCAUUCUUCUUUGGCAGGGAGCUACCAAGGCUAUGGUACUUUGUACAAGACUCAGCCAUGGGAACCAGUCUGUUAAGGACUGAAAAAGGACUUGAGAGAGAGAGAGACAGAAGAAACACAAAGUCUGGGCAAGAUAUGGAACACAUGCCCACCAUUCAAAUGAUCACAUGAGUAACUUCUUUGUUUACAUGUGAGCUGAACCCAUGUGGAGAAAACCAUUCCCCUCCAAAAUACAAUACCUGGAACUGAAUAUAUUUUAGAAGAUCAAACUUUCUGGCAAAAAUCCUGAAGUAUUCCAGGAGCUUAGAAUGGUGCAGGAAGUUUGGAAAGUCUUCAGGCAUUGGAAAGUCACUGAAACAGGACAUUUCUUUGCUCGUGUUGGUGAUGACAGAUUGAUAGAUACUUGCUCGGCCUUCUUCAACAUUUUCCUGAAGAAUCAAAUAAAAAGAGUGAUAAUCAUGUUGCAUUUAAAAUAAUACCUUGGUAUGAUUAAGGGGCCCCUGGGUGG